UACGAAGGGGGCUAGCGUUGCUCGGAAUCACUGGGCGUAAAGCGCACGUAGGCGGAUCUUUAAGUCAGGGGUGAAAUCCCAAGGCUCAACCUUGGAACUGCCUUGAUACUGGGAUCUCGAGUCCGGAAGAGGUCGAGUGGAACUGCGAGUGUAGAGGUGAAUUCGUAGAUAUCAGGAGGACAGCCGGUGGCGAAGGCGGCGUUUCUGGACACUUACUGACGCUCGAGAGCGCGAAAGCGUGGGAGCAACAG
rnacentral:rRNA from 1 species